GCAGUACAUGGAGUACUAACCAUGUCUGGGUGUUGUCUGGCUGACGACGUCAACACACAAUGAGGCAGUCAAAUUAGAAAUUUUUUCCUCUGAUAUGAAGCACUCGCACUUGGCGCGUCUCGCGUGUGUGUAAUCGUCAUCUCACAUUCUCACCUAAUCCACCUGACCAUGGAGGACAUCAGGCAAACAGAGAGAGUUCGGGUUUGGGUUUAGGGUUGAGAUAAUAUCCUCUCUCUCAGUUCGGGUUCGAUCCGGUCUGUGCGGCAGCGACGUUUUCAUAUCGGCUCUACAUUCGUUUCAGGCGCCUUUCGCAUCGAGUUCAAUUUACGGGAUCGAAGGCCGAGUUGAGUCGGUGGUGUUGGAAGGAGCGAAGAAAGAAUGCGACUAUAUUGAAUCGAAGUUUCUGAUUCGAUUUCAGGUUGCUGCUGAUUACAAGGAGGUUCCUUAUACCCCAGAUGUUAUGAAACGGAGAAGAAUGCAGGCAGAUGCACUUCCAGCUGUAUUUGAAACAUAUUUUCACAUAUUGAAGCACACAAUGCAGUCAUCAACUAUCAGGCAUUCAAAGUUUGGUGGAUGAAGAGUUCUGAAAUCGGAGUCUGUCUGGAGCAAUUUAUAUUUGUUCUUUCUGAUCUGAAGCAAAUCUUGGUGUAUCAACCGGUGCUAUGGACUGUGGACUAACAGCAGGAUUCUAUCAAAGAUGGAGAUAAAGAAGCUCUUCAACCACUUCAAUAACUCAGAGUAUGCAGGUUGUGAAAGUUUAAAUUGGAUGCCUUGAAUCCAAAAUCUAGUGAAGAUUGAAGAGAAUCAUUCCCUUAACUCAAAAUUUAGUGAACAUAUUUUCCCUUCACUGAAGUGCCUCAUCACUCAAGCAUUCCCUCCCGGCAGCUCCAGCAUGGGUUGACAUGAAAUCAGUAUUGCGCAAACAGCAGCCGACACGGGAUAAGGCAAAGCUCUCUCGUUCUUCAUAGCAGUAUUAGUCUAUGAUUGUUCCUUUUUUUGUUAGUAGUACAGUUUAGCUAUAGCAUAUUCCAAAUUGGCUUCAAGCCUUUUGAUUUUGAUGAUAUAAAUAAAAAGCCUUUG